GCGCGCAAUUACCCACUCUCAGAACGAGGAGGUAGUGACGAAAAAUAACGAGACCGUUCUCUACGAGGCCGGUCAUCGGAAUGGGUACAAUUUAAACCCUUUAACGAGUAUCUAUGAGAGGGCAAGUCUGGUGCCAGCAGCCGCGGUAAUUCCAGCUCUCAAAAUGCAUAGAAUUAUUGCUGCGGUUAAAAAGCUCGUAGUUGGAUUUGUGCUAGGGACGCGGUCCACCUUCGGGUGCGCACUGCGCUCCCUGGCUUUUUCUGCCGGUUUUCUCGCCGUGGCUUUAACCGGCUGCGGGGGGUGGCUGGUGAUUUUACUUUGAACAAAUCAGAGUGCUUCAAACAGGCGUUUCGCUUGAAUGUUCGUGCAUGGAAUAAUAGAAAAGGAUUUCGGUUCUAUUUUAUUGGUUUUAUAGACUGAAAUAAUGGUUAACAGAGACAAACGGG
rnacentral:rRNA from 1 species